rnacentral:rRNA from 1 species
GGGUUGUGAGGUUAAGCGACUAAGCGUACACGGUGGAUGCCCUGGCAGUCAGAGGCGAUGAAGGGCGUGCUAAUCUGCGAUAAGCGCCGGUAAGGUGAUAUGAACCGUUAUAACCGGCGAUACCCGAAUGGGGAAACCCAGUGUGAUUCGUCACACUAUCAUUAACUGAAUCCAUAGGUUAAUGAGGCGAACCGGGGGAACUGAAACAUCUAAGUACCCCGAGGAAAAGAAAUCAACCGAGAUUCCCCCAGUAGCGGCGAGCGAACGGGGAGGAGCCCAGAGCCUGAAUCAGCAUGUGUGUUAGUGGAAGCGUCUGGAAAGGCGCGCGAUACAGGGUGACAGCCCCGUACACAAAAGCGCAUGUGCUGUGAGCUCGAUGAGUAGGGCGGGACACGUGGUAUCCUGUCUGAAUAUGGGGGGCGAACCGGGGGAACUGAAACAUCUAAGUACCCCGAGGAAAAGAAAUCAACCGAGAUUCCCCCAGUAGCGGCGAGCGAACGGGGAGGAGCCCAGAGCCUGAAUCAGCAUGUGUGUUAGUGGAAGCGUCUGGAAAGGUGCGCGAUACAGGGUGACAGCCCCGUACACAAAAGCGCAUGUGCUGUGAGCUCGAUGAGUAGGGCAGCCAUGGGCAGGUUGAAGGUUGGGUAACACUAACUGGAGGACCGAACCGACUAAUGUUGAAAAAUUAGCGGAUGACCUGUGGCUGGGGGUGAAAGGCCAAUCAAACCGGGAGAUAGCUGGUUCUCCCCGAAAGCUAUUUAGGUAGCGCCUCGUGAAUUCAUCUCCGGGGGUAGAGCACUGUUUCGGCUAGGGGGCCAUCCCGGCUUACCAACCCGAUGCAAACUGCGAAUACCGGAGAAUGUUAUCACGGGAGACACACGGCGGGUGCUAACGUCCGUCGUGAAGAGGGAAACAACCCAGACCGCCAGCUAAGGUCCCAAAGUCAUGGUUAAGUGGGAAACGAUGUGGGAAGGCCCAGACAGCCAGGAUGUUGGCUUAGAAGCAGCCAUCAUUUAAAGAAAGCGUAAUAGCUCACUGGUCGAGUCGGCCUGCGCGGAAGAUGUAACGGGGCUAAACCAUGCACCGAAGCUGCGGCAGCGAACGUAUCACCCAAGACAACUUUACGGAGUUGACGAUUGACGGAGCGAAGCGACGUCAAAGCGUUCAUUAAAGUCGAGUUGGCUUAGGGAUACGUUCGUUGGGUAGGGGAGCGUUCUGUAAGCCUGUGAAGGUGUGUCGUGAGGCAUGCUGGAGGUAUCAGAAGUGCGAAUGCUGACAUAAGUAACGAUAAAGCGGGUGAAAAGCCCGCUCGCCGGAAGACCAAGGGUUCCUGUCCAACGUUAAUCGGGGCAGGGUGAGUCGACCCCUAAGGCGAGGCCGAAAGGCGUAGUC